rnacentral:rRNA from 1 species
GCUCAGAGUGAACGCUGGCGGUAGGCCUAACACAUGCAAGUCGAACGGCAGCACAGGAGAGCUUGCUCUCUGGGUGGCGAGUGGCGGACGGGUGAGGAAUACAUCGGAAUCUACCUUUUCGUGGGGGAUAACGUAGGGAAACUUACGCUAAUACCGCAUACGACCUUCGGGUGAAAGCAGGGGACCUUCGGGCCUUGCGCGGAUAGAUGAGCCGAUGUCGGAUUAGCUAGUUGGCGGGGUAAAGGCCCACCAAGGCGACGAUCCGUAGCUGGUCUGAGAGGAUGAUCAGCCACACUGGAACUGAGACACGGUCCAGACUCCUACGGGAGGCAGCAGUGGGGAAUAUUGGACAAUGGGCGCAAGCCUGAUCCAGCCAUACCGCGUGGGUGAAGAAGGCCUUCGGGUUGUAAAGCCCUUUUGUUGGGAAAGAAAAGCAGCCAGUUAAUACCUGGUUGUUCUGACGGUACCCAAAGAAUAAGCACCGGCUAACUUCGUGCCAGCAGCCGCGGUAAUACGAAGGGUGCAAGCGUUACUCGGAAUUACUGGGCGUAAAGCGUGCGUAGGUGGUUGUUUAAGUCUGUUGUGAAAGCCCUGGGCUCAACCUGGGAAUUGCAGUGGAUACUGGACGACUAGAGUGUGGUAGAGGGUAGUGGAAUUCCUGGUGUAGCAGUGAAAUGCGUAGAGAUCAGGAGGAACAUCCAUGGCGAAGGCAGCUACCUGGACCAACACUGACACUGA